UACAGAGGGUGCGAGCGUUGUCCGGAAUCACUGGGCGUAAAGGGCGCGUAGGUGGCGCUCCAAGUCUGUGGUGAAAGCUCGACGCUCAACGUCGAGUCGGCCAUAGAGACUGGAGGGCUCGAGCACUGUAGGGGCAGAUGGAAUUCCGGGUGUAGCGGUGGAAUGCGUAGAGAUCCGGAGGAACACCGGUGGCGAAGGCGGUUCUCUGGGCCUGUUCUGACGCUGAGGAGCGAAAGCGUGGGGAGCGAACAGG
rnacentral:rRNA from 1 species